rnacentral:rRNA from 1 species
UAAGGAAUAUUGGUCAAUGGGCGGAAGCCUGAACCAGCCAUGCCGCGUGCAGGAUGACUGCCCUAUGGGUUGUAAACUGCUUUUGUCCGGGAAUAAACCUCCUUACGAGUAGGGAGCUGAAUGUACCGGAAGAAUAAGGAUCGGCUAACUCCGUGCCAGCAGCCGCGGUAAUACGGAGGAUCCGAGCGUUAUCCGGAUUUAUUGGGUUUAAAGGGUGCGUAGGCGGCCCGUUAAGUCAGGGGUGAAAUACGGUGGCUCAACCAUCGCAGUGCCUUUGAUACUGACGGGCUUGAAUCCAUAUGAAGUGGGCGGAAUAAGACAAGUAGCGGUGAAAUGCAUAGAUAUGUCUUAGAACUCCGAUUGCGAAGGCAGCUCACUAAGCUGGUAUUGACGCUGAUGC